rnacentral:rRNA from 1 species
UACGUAGGGGGCAAGCGUUGUCCGGAAUUAUUGGGCGUAAAGCGCGCGCAGGCGGCGGUUUAAGUUUGGUGUUUAAGCCCAGGGCUCAACCCUGGUUCGCACUGAAAACUGGAUCGCUUGAGUGCAGAAGAGGAGAGUGGAAUUCCACGUGUAGCGGUGAAAUGCGUAGAGAUGUGGAGGAACACCAGUGGCGAAGGCGACUCUCUGGUCUGUAACUGACGCUGAGGCGCGAAAGCGUGGGGAGCAAACAGG